UACGGGAGGCAGCAGUGGGGAAUAUUGCACAAUGGGCGCAAGCCUGAUGCAGCCAUGCCGCGUGUAUGAAAAAGGCCUUCGGGUUGUAAAGUACUUUCAGUCGUGAGGAAGGUGUUAAGGUUAAUAACCUUAGCAAUUGACGUUAGCGACAGAAGAAGCACCGGCUAACUCCGUGCCAGCAGCCGCGGUAAUACGGAGGGUGCGAGCGUUAAUCGGAAUUACUGGGCGUAAAGGGCACGCAGGCGGUUAAUUAAGUUGGAUGUGAAAUCCCCGGGCUUAACCUGGGAAUGGCAUUCAAGCUGGUUAGCUAGAGUCUUGUAGAGGGGGGUUAGAAUUCCAUGUGUAGCGGUGAAAUGCGUAGAGAUGUGGAGGAAUACCGGUGGCGAAGGCGGCCCCUGGACAAAGACUGACGCUCAUGUGCGAAAGCGUGGGGAGCAAACG
rnacentral:rRNA from 1 species